CUACGGUUGCCUUUAUUUAUCAUUACAAUUAUGACACUGACUAUAUGCUGAUGUAAAUUAUACUAUGUUAUCAUAACUAUAAUAGAUAAAGGCAACAGUAGUACAUGUAUACCGCUGUUCUAAGUUCAUAAAUCGAUUGAGAAAAAAAAAACAAAUCCGGGCUACAAACUAAAACUGAGAAAAACACAUCAAAUAUAAGAGGAGAACUACGACACAACAGAAACACAACACUAAAAAGUAAGAUCACAAACAUAUUGGACUCCGAGGAAAAUUCAAAAACGGAAAGUACCUAAUCAAAUGGCAAAAUCAAAUGAUAAAACACAUCAAACGAAUGGGCAAUGAAUGGUACAGGCAUUUGCAAAUGUAUAAAAAGGUGGAUUGAACCUGGUUUUAUAGCGCUAAACAUCUCACUUGUAUGACAGUUGCAUCAAAUUCCGUACAACGAUGCGUGAACAAAACAG
rnacentral:lncRNA from 1 species